rnacentral:rRNA from 1 species
UAGUGGCGAACGGGUGAGUAACACGUGGGCAAUCUGCCCUUCACUCUGGGACAAGCCCUGGAAACGGGGUCUAAUACCGGAUAUGAGCCUGGGAGGCAUCUCCCGGGUUGUAAAGCUCCGGCGGUGAAGGAUGAGCCCGCGGCCUAUCAGCUUGUUGGUGAGGUAAUGGCUCACCAAGGCGACGACGGGUAGCCGGCCUGAGAGGGCGACCGGCCACACUGGGACUGAGACACGGCCCAGACUCCUACGGGAGGCAGCAGUGGGGAAUAUUGCACAAUGGGCGAAAGCCUGAUGCAGCGACGCCGCGUGAGGGAUGACGGCCUUCGGGUUGUAAACCUCUUUCAGCAGGGAAGAAGCGAAAGUGACGGUACCUGCAGAAGAAGCGCCGGCUAACUACGUGCCAGCAGCCGCGGUAAUACGUAGGGCGCAAGCGUUGUCCGGAAUUAUUGGGCGUAAAGAGCUCGUAGGCGGCUUGUCACGUCGAUUGUGAAAGCCCGAGGCUUAACCUCGGGUCUGCAGUCGAUACGGGCUAGCUAGAGUGUGGUAGGGGAGAUCGGAUUCCU